UGGGGAAUAUUGCACAAUGGGCGCAAGCCUGAUGCAGCAACGCCGCGUGAACGAUGAAGGUCUUCGGAUCGUAAAGUUCUGUUGCAGGGGAAGAUAAUGACGGUACCCUGUGAGGAAGCCCCGGCUAACUACGUGCCAGCAGCCGCGGUAAUACGUAGGGGGCUAGCGUUAUCCGGAUUUACUGGGCGUAAAGGGUGCGUAGGUGGUCUUUCAAGUCGGUGGUUAAAGGCUACGGCUCAACCGUAGUUAGCCUCCGAAACUGGAAGACUUGAGUGCAGGAGAGGAAAGUGGAAUUCCCAGUGUAGCGGGGAAAUGCGUAGAUAUUGGGAGGAACACCAGUAGCGAAGGCGGCUUUCUGGACUGCAACUGACACUGAGGCACGAAAGCGUGGGUAGCAAACAGG
rnacentral:rRNA from 1 species